UUUAUUAAAAACAUGGCCUAUUGGAAAUGAUUUUAGGUCGAGCCUGCCCAAUGAUGUAAAAAUUUAAUGGCCGCGGUAUUUUGACCGUGCAAAGGUAGCAUAAUCAUUAGUUUUUUAAUUGAAAGCUUGUAUGAAAGGUUUGAUGAAAAAAUAACUGUCUCUAUUUAAAUUUAUUAGAAAUUUAUUUUUAAGUAAAAAAGCUUAAAUACUUAUAGAAGACGAGAAGACCCUAUAGAGUUUUAUAAUUAUUUAGAUAAAUAAAAUUUUAGUAUAUUAAUUAUUUAUUUAAAUAAUUAUUUAAUUGGGGUGAUUGAAAAAUUAAAGUAACUUUUUUUGUAUAUAAACAUUAAUAUAUGAGUUCUUGAUCCUUGUAUAAAGAUUAAAAGAUAAAAUUACCUUAGGGAUAACAGCGUAAUUUUUUUUAGAGUUCUUAUCGAAAAAAAAGAUUGCGACCUCGAUGUUGGAUUAAAAGAAAUUAUUGGUGAAGAAGCUAGUAAAUUAGGUCUGUUCGACCUUUAAAAUUUUACAUGAUCUGAGUUUAAACCGGUGUGAGCCAGGU
rnacentral:rRNA from 1 species